rnacentral:rRNA from 1 species
GAGUUUGAUCCUGGCUCAGGACGAACGCUGGCGGCGCGCCUAACACAUGCAAGUCGAACGAGCAAGAGAGAGCUUGCUUUCUCGAGCGAGUGGCGAACGGGUGAGUAACGCGUAAUCAACCUGCCCUUCAGAGGGGGACAACAGUUGGAAACGACUGCUAAUACCGCAUACGAUUCAACUUCGGCAUCGAGGAUGAAUGAAAGGUGGCCUCUAUUUAUAAGCUAUCGCUGAAGGAGGGGAUUGCGUCUGAUUAGCUAGUUGGAGGGUAACGGCCCACCAAGGCGAUGAUCAGUAGCCGGUCUGAGAGGAUGAACGGCCACAUUGGGACUGAGACACGGCCCAGACUCCUACGGGAGGCAGCAGUGGGGAAUCUUCCGCAAUGGACGAAAGUCUGACGGAGCAACGCCGCGUGAGUGAUGACGGCCUCGGUUGUAA